rfam:Escovopsis weberi scaffold00009, whole genome shotgun sequence.
UCCGACGUAGUGUAACGGUUAUCAUACAGCGCUUUCACCGCUGGGACCCGGGUUCGACUCCCGGCGCCGGAA